rnacentral:rRNA from 1 species
CGAACGGUGAUCUUGAGAGCUUGCUCUUGGGUGAUCAGUGGCGAACGGGUGAGUAACACGUGAGUAACCUGCCCCUGACUCUGGAAUGACUUCGGGAAACCGAAGCUAAUACCGGAUAUGACACAGAGCCGCAUGGUUUCUGUGUGGAAAGUUUUUCGGUUGGGGAUGGACUCGCGGCCUAUCAGCUUGUUGGUGAGGUAAUGGCUCACCAAGGCGACGACGGGUAGCCGGCCUGAGAGGGCGACCGGCCACACUGGGACUGAGACACGGCCCAGACUCCUACGGGAGGCAGCAGUGGGGAAUAUUGCACAAUGGGCGAAAGCCUGAUGCAGCGACGCCGCGUGAGUGAUGAAGGCCCUAGGGUUGUAAAGCUCUUUCACC